GAGUGCCUCACCAGCCAGACGAUCACCCUGUAAAGACAGCCAGGCAAUAAUGAAGGUUCUUUUACUGGAAGACCCUAAGGAGGACGACUGUGGCCAGGAUCCCUACAUCAGGGAAUUAGGAUUAUAUGGACUUGAAGCCACUUUGAUCCCUGUUUUAUCAUUUGAGUUUUUGUCUCUUCCCAGUUUUUCGGAGAAGCUGUCUCACCCUGAAGGUUACGGGGGCCUCAUUUUUACAAGCCCCAGAGCAGUGGAAGUAGUGGAACUGUGUUUGGAGAAAGACAAUAAAACCGAAGUCUGGAGAAAGUCUCUGAAAGAAAAAUGGAAUGCUAAGUCAGUGUAUGUGGUGGGAAAUGCUACUGCUUCUCUAGUGAAUAAAAUUGGCCUGCAUACAGAAGGAGAAAACUGUGGAAAUGCAGAAAAGCUUGCAGAGUGCAUUUGUUCUAGGGAGUCGUCAGCACUGCCUCUUCUGUUUCCCUGUGGAACCCUCAAAAGAGAAAUCCUGCCGAAAAUGCUCAAGGACAAAGGGAUUCCCGGGGAGAGCUUAACCGUCUACCAGAGGAAUCCAGGGGAACCUCAACAGCUACUAUUCCCAGCAGGGCAUUCCAGCCAGCAUCACGUUUUUCAGGCCCUCUGGCCUGACACACAGUCUCAAGCAUAUUCAAGAGUUAUCUGGUGACAACAUUGACCAG